rnacentral:lncRNA from 1 species
GAGAGAAAAAAAGAAAGCCAGCAGGGCAGAGGAAGCUGCAGGCCUUCAGAAACACAGCCGCACUCUGGAAAGGAAAACAUACUGCCUUUCAUCUCCAGGCCUAUCUGCACCAGCCGCUCCCUCUGCCGCUGUCUUAUGGACCACUGCAGGACACAGGCAUCAUCAAAGGCUGUGACCUGGUGUCAUCAGCCACCAGCUAUGAAACCCGAAGAACAUCCUUGGGAGAGAGAGGACACCUGCCCCUUUUCGCCACUAUGAAGAGAGUGAUUGUGUGGACUGACAGAGCCUGCAAUGGCAGUAAACAAGAGCUUUGAAAGGGGAAGGAAGCCAGGAGAAAGCCAGCUCCAUUAGUCACGCAGCUGCAUAUCCUGUCACAAAGGACCCCAGUUGAGUAAUCGCCCAAAAAUAUGCCUGUUAUUUUUUUUCUGUCAGAAAAAAAUGGGGCCUGCCAAAAUGUACUGUAAAAAAAAAAAAAGAAAAAAUCUGGUCAUUCAGCCCCAGAAGGGGGAAAGAAAAUAAAGAAGAAACAGGCGCGGCUUGGAAGUGUUCUUCCAACUUUUCCCCGCUUGUCUUUGCAAGAAAAAGCUCUCAAACUGCUCAUGGGACCGAGCUUGCAGUGGUGGAGGACAGCUGGCUCCUUGGAGACCCUGCUCCCAGAGUCCUUGCUGUCAUGGGGUGCCCAGAUGUUAAGAAGGCAAUGACAAUGGAAGAAGGCAGCAGGAAGCAAGGGAGAGAGCGAAGAAAGGGAGUCCAGAGAGCAAAUAAGUCUUCUGAAGAUCCUUAUAUGAGGACUUCAGGGCUCCACCGUGAACCUGUGGCAGUCCACACCUGUUCCAAGAGCCCUGAUGAACCCUGGAGGGGCACUGACUUCCGUCCAUCAACCACACCUGCCUCACUGUCCACGGGCAGCUUUUCUAAUGGGCUCAGCAAAACCAACUUUGACUCGGGUCUAAGCCAUCUUUGUGAUGUUUGGGCUACAGAUGGAACGAGAGCAGGCAUAUAAGGAUAUCUGACUUGGGGACAGGCUGAAGAAUUGAGGCUCAAAAUCCAGCAAGGAUACAUGCAUCUCAGCUACUGAGGCAGGAGGAUUAUUUGAGCUUAUGAAUUCAAGGUUCAAAAGGGCUAGGUGUUCUGCAAGGUGGUUCAGUGAGUAAAGGCUUAGCACUAAAACUGAGGACCUGAGUUCCAUCGCCGGGAUCCACAUGGUGUAAGGAAACAACCAACUGCCAUGGCAACCUAAAACAUCUUAAAAAGUCAUGUGAUUUUUAAAUUUUUAAGAGAGAAGAAAAGACCAAGUGGUGGUGGCACACGACUUUAGUCCCAGCACUGAGCAGGCAGAAGCAGGAGGAUCUCUGAGCAGCCGAGGAGACCUUUGCAGGAACUAGCAUCCAGCUAUGCAGCUACUCCCUCCUCAGCCCAAAGACCAAGCUCGGGUCCCCUGCAGAUUGCUGUAGAAAAAAGCUCAGUUAUAUCAGAACCAGGACUUUCUUCAGCCCUUCCAUUUUUCUGAUCCUGUCUGAGGUAUCCACUCUGACCAAAGCCUGCUCUGAGAGGAGAGUACAUGGGGGAACACUUCAAACUAUGGUUACAUAGGAAUACUAUUGCAGCCCGGAUACAGCAAGGAGGGCCUAGGCCCUCCCCCAAACGAUAUGACAGACUUUGAAGGUCCCUGGUGGAGGGCCUCACUAUCCCUGGG